AUUGAACGCUGGCGGCAGGCUUAACACAUGCAAGUCGAGCGGAGAGAGGUAGCUUGCUACUGAUCUUAGCGGCGGACGGGUGAGUAAUGCUUAGGAAUCUGCCUAUUAGUGGGGGACAACAUUUCGAAAGGAAUGCUAAUACCGCAUACGUCCUACGGGAGAAAGCAGGGGAUCUUCGGACCUUGCGCUAAUAGAUGAUCCUAAGUCGGAUUAGCUAGUUGGUGGGGUAAAGGCCUACCAAGGCGACGAUCUGUAGCGGGUCUGAGGGGAUGAUCCGCCACACUGGGACUGAGACACGGCCCAGACUCCUACGGGAGGCAGCAGUGGGGAAUAUUGGACAAUGGGCGGAAGCCUGAUCCAGCCAUGCCGCGUGUGUGAAGAAGGCCUUAUGGUUGUAAAGCACUUUAAGCGAGGAGGAGGCUACUUUAGUUAAUACCUAGAGAUAGUGGACGUUACUCGCAGAAUAAGCACCGGCUAACUCUGUGCCAGCAGCCGCCGUAAUAC
rnacentral:rRNA from 1 species